rnacentral:rRNA from 1 species
AGAUUGAACGCUGGCGGCAGGCCUAACACAUGCAAGUCGAGCGGCAGCACGGGUACUUGUACCUGGUGGCGAGCGGCGGACGGGUGAGUAAUGCCUAGGAAUCUGCCUGAUAGUGGGGGAUAACGUUCGGAAACGGACGCUAAUACCGCAUACGUCCUACGGGAGAAAGUGGGGGAUCUUCGGACCUCACGCUAUCAG